rnacentral:rRNA from 1 species
GACGAACGCUGGCGGCGUGCUUAACACAUGCAAGUCGAGCGGUAAGGCCUCUUCUUGGGUACACGAGCGGCGGACGGGUGAGUAACACGAGGGUGACCGGCCCUCAGCUCUGGGAUAAGACUGGGAAAGUGGGUCUGAUUCCGGACAUGACCUUUCCUCGCAUGGGGUGUGGUGGAAAGGUUUUUCGGCGGGGGAUGGGCCCGCGGUCUAUCAGCUUGUUGGUGGGGUGAUGGCCUACCAAGGCGGCGACAGGUAGCCGGCCGGAGAGGGCGACCGAACAAGCUGGGAAUGAGGCCCCGGACAGAAUCCGAAGGGAGGCAGCCGGGGGGAAAAAUGCGCAAUGGGCGGCAGCCGUACGCAGCGAGGGCGCGUGGGGCAUGGCGGCCGUCGGGGUGUAAACCUCUUUCGAGCCGGACGGAUUUGGACGGUAGGGGGAGAAGAAGCACCGGCCAACUACGUG